rnacentral:tRNA from 1 species
UCCCCGGUGGCUCAGAUGGUAAAGCGCCUGCCUGCAAUGCAGGAGGCCCAGGUUCAGUUCCUGGGUUGGGAA